CACGUAGGGGGCAAGCGUUGUCCGGAUUUAUUGGGCGUAAAGAGCUCGUAGGCGGUUCGGUAAGUCAGGUGUGAAACCUCCAGGCUCAACCUGGAGACGCCACCUGAUACUGCUGUGACUCGAGUCCGGUAGGGGAGCGUGGAAUUCCUGGUGUAGCGGUGAAAUGCGCAGAUAUCAGGAGGAACACCGGUGGCGAAGGCGGUUCUCUGGGCCGGAACUGACGCUGAGGAGCGAAAGCGUGGGGAGCGAACAGG
rnacentral:rRNA from 1 species